GAUGAACGCUGGCGGCGUGCCUAAUACAUGCAAGUCGAGCGAACAGACGAGGAGUUUGCUCCUCUGACGUUAGCGGCGGACGGGUGAUUAACACGUGGAUAACCUACCUAUAAGACUGGGAUAACAUCGGGAAACCGGAGCUAAUACGGGAUAAUAUAUUGAACCGCAUGGUUCAAUAGUGAAAUACGGUUUUGCGGUCACUUAUAGAUGGAUCCGCGCCGCAUUAGCUAGUUGGUAAGGUAAAGGCUUACCAAGGCAACGAUGCGUAGCCGACCUGAGAGGGUGAUCGGCCACACUGGAACUGAGACACGGUCCAGACUCCUACGGGAGGCAGCAGUAGGGAAUCUUCCGCAAUGGGCGAAAGCCUGACGGAACAACGCCGCGUGAGUGAUGAAGGUCUUCGGAUCGUAAAACUCUGUUAUUAGGAAAGAACAAAUGUGUAAGUAACUAUGCACGUCUUGACGGUACCUAAUCAGAAAGCCACGGCUAACUACGUG
rnacentral:rRNA from 1 species